rnacentral:rRNA from 1 species
AGCUAACGCAUUAAGUUAUCCGCCUGGGGAGUACGGCCGCAAGGUUAAAACUCAAAGGAAUUGACGGGGGCCUGCACAACGGAGCAUGUGGUUUAAUUCGAAGCAACGCGCAGAACCUUACCAGCGUUUGACAUGGUAGGACGACUUCCAGAGAUGGAUUUCUUCCCUUCGGGGACCUACACACAGGUGCUGCAUGGCUGUCGUCAGCUCGUGUCGUGAGAUGUUGGGUUAAGUCCCGCAACGAGCGCAACCCUCGACUUUAGUUACCAUCAUUAAGUUGGGUACUUUAAAGUAACCGCCGGUGAUAAGCCGGAGGAAGGUGGGGAUGACGUCAAGUCCUCAUGGCCCUUACGCGCUGGGCUACACACGUGCUACAAUGGCAAGUACAGUGGGCAGCAAUCCCGCGAGGGUGAGCUAAUCUCCAAAACUUGUCUCAGUUCGGAUUGUUCUCUGCAACUCGAGAGCAUGAGGCGGAAUCGCUGAUGAGAU